rnacentral:lncRNA from 1 species
GGAGGAGUUGUCAAAUCGUCGGAGGCUGUCAGAGUCGCCGCGGACUGUCAAGCCGUCGUGGGCUUGUCACAUCGCUGGAGUUAAUCUAUGUUCUUGGCAAGACAAUGUCCCAGGGCGGCUAUGCCGCAUGCUUUUGUCAGGACGGCGGCCCUCAGUAGUCGUACGGUGUUUGAGGAAGCCGACCGACCAUACGUCGGCAUUUGGUUGUAGGAUAUCGGGUGAAGACCCAGGGACCCUCUGACGGUCGGUCUGGCGCGUUGC